ACACUGGCACUGAAACACGGGCCAGACUCCUACGGGAGGCAGCAGUGGGGAAUCUUGCACAAUGGGGGAAACCCUGAUGCAGCGACGCCGCGUGAGCGAUGAAGCCCUUCGGGGUGUAAAGCUCUUUCGGCAGGGAAGAUAGUGACGGUACCUGCAGAAGCAGCUGCGGCUAACUACGUGCCAGCAGCCGCGGUAAUACGUAGGCAGCAAGCGUUGUUCGGAGUUACUGGGCGUAAAGGGUGUGUAGGCGGUUCUUUAAGUUUGGUGUGAAAUCUCCCGGCUUAACCGGGAGGGUGCGCCGAAUACUGAGGGACUAGAGUACGGGAGAGGAAAGUGGAAUUCCUGGUGUAGCGGUGAAAUGCGUAGAUAUCAGGGGGAACACCGGUGGUGUAGACGGCUUUCUGGACCGUAACUGACGCUGAGACACGAAAGCGUGGGCAGCAAACAGGAUUAGAUACCCUGGUAGUCCACGCCCUAAACGAUGCAUAUUUGGUGUGGGCAGUUCAUUCUGUCCGUGCCGGAGCUAACGCGUUAAAUAUGCCGCCUGGGGAGUACAGUCGCAAGGCUGAAACUCAAAGGAAUUGACGGGGGCCCGCACAAGCGGUGGAGCAUGUGGUUCAAUUCGACGCAACGCGAAGAACCUUACCUGGGCUCGAACGGCUUCUCAACGCCGGUGGAAACACUGGUACCCCGCAAGGGGGUGGAGUCGAGGUGCUGCAUGGCUGUCGUCAGCUCGUGUCGUGAGAUGUUGGGUUAAGUCCCGCAACGAGCGCAACCCCUGUCCUGUGUUGCCACCAUUCAGUUGGGAACUCGAAGGAGACCGCCAGCGAUAAGCUGGAGGAAGGUGGGGAUGACGUCAAGUCCUCAUGGCCUUUAUGUCCAGGGCUACACACGUGCUACAAUGGACGGUACAAAGCGCAGCAAACCCGCGAGGGGGAGCCAAUCGCGAAAAACCGUUCUCAGUUCGGAUUGCAGGCUGCAACUCGCCUGCAUGAAGCUGGAAUCGCUAGUAAUGGCAGAUCAGCACGCUGCCGUGAAUACGUUCCCGGGCCUUGUACACACCGCCCGUCACAUCACGAAAGUGGAUUGUACUAGAAGUCUGCAGGCUGACCCGCAAGGGGGGCAGCGGCCCAAGGUAUGAUCCAUGAUUGGGGUGAAGUCGUAACAAGGUAGCCGUAGGAGAACCUGCGGCUG
rnacentral:rRNA from 1 species